GUAAAAAAAGAGGCCAGAUAAAUUCCGCUUAUCUGGCCUUGGGAAAGGGCUCUGCUUGAGCCAUGCGCUAAAAUCUUUCUAAACUCUUUAUCUAAAAUCUUUAUCUAAACUCUUUAUUUAAAAUCUU
rnacentral:sRNA from 1 species